UAACUGCACAGAUCUCCUGGAUCCGAGUUUAUUGAUUUUUGGAUUUGAGAGACUUACAUUGUAAUAUAGGGAGGUGGAGCCAUUUGAAUCACCAAGUGACUUACAAUGAUGAUCAGCAAAGAGCUUUUAUUGACUUACGUUUAUCUCCUUGUCUAUAUCGUGCUUUCAUCAGGAGUUAUUUUGUAUAACAAGUGGGUGCUUUCACCAAAAUAUUUCAAUUUCCCACUCCCAAUUACACUUACCAUGAUACAUAUGGGCUUUUCAGGCUUAGUGGCUUUCUUUCUUGUCCGUGUCUUCAAGGUGGUGUCACCUGUCAAGAUGACUCUUGAAAUAUAUGCAACGUGCGUUAUUCCAAUCAGUGCUUUCUUUGCUGCAAGUCUUUGGUUUGGCAACACCGCAUAUUUGUUCAUUUCAGUGGCCUUCAUCCAGAUGCUCAAAGCUCUGAUGCCGGUCGCUGUUUAUUCGAUCGGUGUUCUUUUGAAGAAAGAAGG
rnacentral:misc_RNA from 1 species